AUGUCCACUUCGUCUACAUCAUCUCUCCCCGUCCCGGCGGACUGGCUGCUACCCCUGAUGGCAUGUCCACUCUGCGGCGACGAGGUAGUGACAGCCGUCGCAAGGAGUGGGAACCAGGUUGGGCAUCGUUUCUACAAGUGCAUCCGUUAUGAUUCACAUUGUAUGCAGUUCCUUCUAUUAGGAGGCGGCCAAAUUCCUCAAACAUAUUCCUUGUAUAUAUUUUGCUGGCAUGUCGCUCUAUCGCAAGCUUUCAUUGCGCUCACGGUCAAACUGAAGCCUCAUGUAUUGCCGGACAAAAACAUGCAUCGGGCUUGCGGGGGGCAUGUAUGA
rnacentral:rRNA from 1 species